AGAGUUUGAUCCUGGCUCAGGAUGAACGCUGGCGGCGUGCCUAAUACAUGCAAGUCGAACGCACUGAUUUUAUCAGUGAGUGGCGAACGGGUGAGUAAUACAUAAGUAACCUGCCCUCAUGAGGGGGAUAACUAUUAGAAAUGAUAGCUAAGACCGCAUAGGUGAAGGGGUCGCAUGACCGCUUCAUUAAAUAUCCGUAUGGAUAGCAGGAGGAUGGACUUAUGGCGCAUUAGCUGGUUGGUGAGGUAACGGCUCACCAAGGCGACGAUGCGUAGCCGACCUGAGAGGGUGGACGGCCACACUGGGACUGAGACACGGCCCAGACUCCUACGGGAGGCAGCAGUAGGGAAUUUUCGGCAAUGGGGGAAACCCUGACCGAGCAACGCCGCGUGAGGGAAGAAGUAUUUCGGUAUGUAAACCUCUGUUAUAAAGGAAGAACGGUAUGAAUAGGAAAUGAUUCAUAAGUGACGGUACUUUAUGAGAAAGCCACGGCUAACUACGUGCCAGCAGCCGCGGUAAUACGUAGGUGGCGAGCGUUAUCCGGAAUCAUUGGGCGUAAAGAGGGAGCAGGCGGCAAUAGAGGUCUGCGGUGAAAGCCUGAAGCUAAACUUCAGUAAGCCGUGGAAACCAAAUAGCUAGAGUGCAGUAGAGGAUCGUGGAAUUCCAUGUGUAGCGGUGAAAUGCGUAGAUAUAUGGAGGAACACCAGUGGCGAAGGCGACGAUCUGGGCUGCAACUGACGCUCAGUCCCGAAAGCGUGGGGAGCAAAUAGGAUUAGAUACCCUAGUAGUCCACGCCGUAAACGAUGAGUACUAAGUGUUGGGG
rnacentral:rRNA from 1 species